rnacentral:piRNA from 1 species
AAUGAUUUCCUUUCUCUGAAAUAU